UGUCUUGUAGUAUACACAUCAUUACUGUAAACUGCAACUUUACCAAAGCUUCCAGCCAAGACAU
rnacentral:tRNA from 1 species